CUCUUGCCUUGCGUAAAGGAUAGGAGCGGCAUCCUUUUAUGAAGUGUAACGAAAUAAAAGAUACAGCGUAUAGCCUGACCUCGU
rnacentral:sRNA from 1 species